UCGAGAAUUUUUCUCAAUGGGCGAAAGCCUGAAGGAGCGACGCCGCGUGGGGGAUGAAUGGCUUCGGCCCGUAAACCCCUGUCAUUCGGGAUCAAUGCGUUUGGGUGAACAUCCCAAACGUUGAUAGUACCGGAAGAGGAAGGGACGGCUAACUCUGUGCCAGCAGCCGCGGUAAUACAGAGGUCCCAAGCGUUGUUCGGAUUCACUGGGCGUAAAGGGUGCGUAGGUGGCGGGGUAAGUUUGAUGUGAAAUCUCCGGGCUUAACCCGGAAACUGCAUUGAAUACUAUUCUGCUGGAGGGUUGGAGGGGGGACUGGAAUACUUGGUGUAGCAGUGAAAUGCGUAGAUAUCAAGUGGAACACCAGUGGCGAAGGCGAGUCCCUGGACAACUCCUGACACUAAGGCACGAAAGCUAGGGGAGCAAACAG
rnacentral:rRNA from 1 species